CCUACGGGAGGCAGCAGUGGGGAAUCUUGCGCAAUGGGGGAAACCUUGACGCAGCAACGCCGCGUGGGUGAUGAAGGCCUUCGGGUCGUAAAGCCCUGUCAGGUGGGAAGAAACGUAUCGGUGUUAAUACCACCGAUAUUUGACGGUACUACCGGAGGAAGCACCGGCUAACUCCGUGCCAGCAGCCGCGGUAAUACGGAGGGUGCAAGCGUUGUUCGGAAUUACUGGGCGUAAAGCGCGUGUAGGCGGUUGGGCAAGUCAGACGUGAAAGCCUUCCGCUCAACGGAAGAAGUGCAUUUGAAACUACCCGGCUGGAGUACGGGAGAGGAGAGUGGAAUUCCCGGUGUAGAGGUGAAAUUCGUAGAUAUCGGGAGGAACACCAGUGGCGAAGGCGGCUCUCUGGUCCGAUACUGACGCUGAUACGCGAAAGCGUGGGGAGCAAACAGGAUUAGAUACCCUGGUAGUCCACGCCGUAAACGAUGGGCACUAGGUGUAGGAGGUAUUGACCCCUUCUGUGCCGAAGUUAACGCAUUAAGUGCCCCGCCUGGGGAGUACGGCCGCAAGGUUAAAACUCAAAGGAAUUGACGG
rnacentral:rRNA from 1 species